rnacentral:rRNA from 1 species
UGAGGAAUAUUGGUCAAUGGGCGUGAGCCUGAACCAGCCAAGUAGCGUGCAGGAAGACGGCCCUAUGGGUUGUAAACUGCUUUUAUGCGGGGAUAAAGGAGUCCACGUGUGGAUUUUUGCAGGUACCGCAUGAAUAAGGACCGGCUAAUUCCGUGCCAGCAGCCGCGGUAAUACGGAAGGUCCGGGCGUUAUCCGGAUUUAUUGGGUUUAAAGGGCAUCUAGGCGGUAAGACAAGUUGAAGGUGAAAACCUGUGGCUCAACCAUAGGCUUGCCUACAAAACUGUUGAACUAGAGUACUGGAAAGGUGGGUGGAACUACACGAGUAGAGGUGAAAUUCGUAGAUAUGUGUAGGAAUGCCGAUGAUGAAGAUAACUCACUGGACAGAAACUGACGCUGAAGUGCGAAAGCUAGGGGAGCAAACAGG